GGUGAACGCUGGCGGCGUGCCUAAUACAUGCAAGUCGAGCGAACGGACGAGAAGCUUGCUUCUCUGAUGUUAGCGGCGGACGGGUGAGUAACACGUGGAUAACCUACCUAUAAGACUGGGAUAACUUCGGGAAACCGGAGCUAAUACCGGAUAAUAUUUUGAACCGCAUGGUUCAAAAGUGAAAGACGGUCUUGCUGUAACUUAUAGAUGGAUCCGCGCUGCAUUAGCUAGUUGGUAAGGUAACGGCUUACCAAGGCAACGAUGCAUAGCCGACCUGAGAGGGUGAUCGGCCACACUGAAACUGAGACACGGCCCAGACUCCUACGGGAGGCAGCAGUAGGGAAUCUUCCGCAAUGGGCGAAAGCCUGACGGAGCACCGCCGCGUGAGUGAUGAAGGUCUUCGGAUCGUAAAACUCUGUUAUUAGGGAAGAACAUAUGUGUAAGUAACUGUGCACAUCUUGACGGUACCUAAUCAGAAAGCCACGGCUAACUACGUG
rnacentral:rRNA from 1 species